rnacentral:pre_miRNA from 1 species
UCUUAUGGAUGAGCAAAGAAAAUGGUUUCGUUAUAUGGAAACUACUCCUAGUAAAGAUGCUGUGAA